rnacentral:rRNA from 1 species
AAGCUCGUAGUUGAAUUUCGGGGUUAGUAGGUUGGUCAUGCCUCUGGUAUGUACUGGUCUCACUGNUUCCUCCUUCCUGAUGAACCGUAAUGCCAUUAAUUUGGUGUUGCGGGGAAUUUGGACUGUUACUUUGAAAAAAUUAGAGUGUUUAAAGCAAGCUAACGCUUGAAUACAUUAGCAUGGAAUAAUGAAAUAGGACGUUCGAUCCUAUUUUGUUGGUUUCUAGGAUUGACGUAAUGAUUAAUAGGGAUAGUUGGGGGCAUUAGUAUUCAAUUGUCAGAGGUGAAAUUCUUGGAUUUAUUGAAGACUAACUACUGCGAAAGCAUUUGCCAAGGAUGUUUUCAUUAAUCAAGAACGAAAGUUAGGGGAUCGAAGACGAUCAGAUACCGUCGUAGUCUUAACCAUAAACUAUGCCGACUAGGGAUCGGAUGAUGUUAAUUUUUUAAUGACUCAUUCGGCGCCUUACGGGAAACCAAAGUGUUUGGGUUCCGGGGGGAGUAUGGUCGCAAGGCUGAAACUUAAAGGAAUUGACGGAAGGGCACCACCAGGGGUGGAGCCUGCGGCUUAAUUUGACUCAACACGGGGAAACUCACCAGGUCCAGACAUAGUAAGGAUUGACAGAUUGAGAGCUCUUUCUUGAUUCUAUGGGUG